rnacentral:rRNA from 1 species
GAUGAACGCUGGCGGCGUGCCUAAUACAUGCAAGUAGAACGCUGAAGGAGGAGCUUGCUCUUCUGGAUGAGUUGCGAACGGGUGAGUAACGCGUAGGUAACCUGCCUGGUAGCGGGGGAUAACUAUUGGAAACGAUAGCUAAUACCGCAUGACAACAGUUAUUGCAUGAUAACUGUUUAAAAGGGGCAACUGCUCCACUACCAGAUGGACCUGCGUUGUAUUAGCUAGUUGGUGAGGUAACGGCUCACCAAGGCGACGAUACAUAGCCGACCUGAGAGGGUGAUCGGCCACGCUGGGACUGAGACACGGCCCAGACUCCUACGGGAGGCAGCAGUAGGGAAUCUUCGGCAAUGGACGGAAGUCUGACCGAGCAACGCCGCGUGAGUGAAGAAGGGUGUCGGAUCGUAAAGCUCUGUUGUAAGAGAAGAACGAGUGUGAGAGUGGAAAGUUCACACUGUGACGGUAUCUUACCAGAAAGGGACGGCUAACUACGUG